rfam:Treponema pedis str. T A4, complete genome.
UUUUAACUGCCGAGUUUGCCUUUCGGCAAACGUCGGGAUUGUAUGCCGUUUUUCAAGCUGCGCUUGCAAAACGGCGGAAAAUAAACAAUGCUCGAAAAUUGAUAUUUUCUGCGCUUGUUUAUUUUAUAG